rnacentral:rRNA from 1 species
UCAGUCGACUCCUACGGGGAGGCAGCAGUGGGGGAAUAUUGCACAAUGGGCGCAAGCCUGAUGCAGCCAUGCCGCGUGUAUGAAGAAGGCCUUCGGGUUGUAAAGUACUUUCAGCAGUGAGGAAGGUGGGUAUGUUAAUAGCAUACUCAUUUGACGUUAGCUGCAGAAGAAGCACCGGCUAACUCCGUGCCAGCAGCCGCGGUAAUACGGAGGGUGCGAGCGUUAAUCGGAAUUACUGGGCGUAAAGCGCAUGCAGGUGGUUUGUUAAGUCAGAUGUGAAAGCCCGGGGCUCAACCUCGGAAUUGCAUUUGAAACUGGCAAACUAGAGUACUGUAGAGGGGGGUAGGAAUUUCAGGUGUAGCGGUGAAAUGCGUAGAGAUCUGAAGGAAUACCGGUGGCGAAGGCGGCCCCCUGGACAAAGACUGACGCUCAGAUGCGAAAGCGUGGGGAGCAAACAGGAUUAGAUACCCUGGUAG